rnacentral:rRNA from 1 species
GAUGAACGCUAGCUACAGGCUUAACACAUGCAAGUCGAGGGGAAACGAUAGAGAAAGCUUGCUUUUUAUAGGCGUCGACCGGCGCACGGGUGAGUAACGCGUAUCCAACCUGCCCACCGCUUGGGGAUAACCUUGCGGAAGUAAGACUAAUACCCAAUGACGUCUCUAGAAGACAUCUGAAAGAGAAUAAAGAUUCAUCGGUGCUGGAUGGGGAUGCGUCUGAUUAGCUUGUUGGCGGGGUAAUGGCCCACCAAGGCGACGAUCAGUAGGGGUUCUGGGAGGAAGGUCCCCCACAUUGGAACUGAGACACGGUCCAAACUCCUACGGGAGGCAGCAGUGAGGAAUAUUGGUCAAUGGGCGAGAGCCUGAACCAGCCAAGUAGCGUGCAGGAUGACGGCCCUAUGGGUUGUAAACUGCUUUUAUAAGGGAGUAAAGUGAGUCUCGUGAGACUUUUUGCAUGUACCUUAUGAAUAAGGACCGGCUAAUUCCGUGCCAGCCGCCGCCGUAA